rnacentral:rRNA from 1 species
GACGAACGCUGGCGGCGCGCCUAACACAUGCAAGUCGAGCGAUGAAAGUUGUUCAGAUCCUUCGGGUGACGAACUUCUGGAUUAGCGGCGAACGGGUGAGUAACGCGUGAGGAACCUGCCUCUCACAACGGGAUAGCCUCGGGAAACCGGGAUUAAUACCGUAUGACACUAUCAGAUGGCAUCAUCAGGUAGUUAAAGUGCUAGCGGUGAGAGAUGGCCUCGCGUCUGAUUAGUUAGUUGGUGGGGUAACGGCCUACCAAGACGACGAUCAGUAACCGGCCUGAGAGGGUGAACGGUCACAUUGGAACUGAGACACGGUCCAAACUCCUACGGGAGGCAGCAGUGGGGAAUCUUGCACAAUGGGGGAAACCCUGAUGCAGCGACGCCGCGUGAGCGAUGAAGGUUUUCGAAUCGUAAAGCUCUGUCCUAUGGGAAGAUAAUGACGGUACCAUAGGAGGAAGCCCCGGCUAACUACGUGCCAGCAGCCGCGGUAAUACGUAGGGGGCGAGCGUUGUCCGGAAUUACUGGGCGUAAAGGGUUCGCAGGCGGCAUGACAAGUCCGAUGUAAAAGGCGAAAGCUCAACUUUCGUAAGCAUCGGAAACUGUCAAGCUUGAGUGAAGGAGAGGCAAGUGGAAUUCCUAGUGUAGCGGUGGAAUGCGUAGAUAUUAGGAGGAAUACCGGUGGCGAAGGCGACUUGCUGGACUUCAACUGACGCUGAGGAACGAAAGCGUGGGUAGCAAACAGG